rnacentral:rRNA from 1 species
CCUACGGGUGGCAGCAGUGGGGAAUAUUGGACAAUGGGCGAAAGCCUGAUCCAGCCAUGCCGCGUGUGUGAAGAAGGCCUUCGGGUUGUAAAGCACUUUCAGUGGGGAAGAAAGCCUUGGGGCUAAUACCCUCGAGGAAGGACAUCACCCACAGAAGAAGCACCGGCUAACUCCGUGCCAGCAGCCGCGGUAAUACGGAGGGUGCGAGCGUUAAUCGGAAUUACUGGGCGUAAGGCGCGCGUAGGCGGUCUGAUAAGCCGGUUGUGAAAGCCCCGGGCUCAACCUGGGAACGGCAUCCGGAACUGUCAGGCUAGAGUGCAGGAGAGGAAGGUAGAAUUCCCGGUGUAGCGGUGAAAUGCGUAGAGAUCGGGAGGAAUACCAGUGGCGAAGGCGGCCUUCUGGACUGACACUGACGCUGAGGUGCGAAAGCGUGGGUAGCAAACAGGAUUAGAUACCCGUGUAGUC